rnacentral:tRNA from 1 species
GCGGCCAUGCUGAAAUUGGUAGACAGGCUUGGUUGAGGGCCAAGUGGGAAUUUUCCUUUGAGAGUUCAAGUCUCUCUGGCCGCACUA